rnacentral:lncRNA from 1 species
AUGAGGACCUUGCCGAGCGCUGGCUUGGGAUGGCACAGCCUGUGGCCUGGUGAGUGGACACGGCACGGCUGGACACAGCGCGGAGCUGCUCCAGAUCAUCUCUGCCACAGCUGGACACAGCAUGGAGCUGCUCCACUGCCCCUCCGGCACGGCUGGACACAGCGUGGAGCUGCUCCAACGCCCGUCUGUCACAGCUGGACACAGUGUGGAGCUGUUCCCCCGCCCCUCCGGCACAGCUGGACACAGCGUGGAGCUGCUCCAGCGUCUCUCUGGCACAGCUGGACACAGCAUGGAGCUGCUCCACUGCCCCUCCGGCACGGCUGGACACAGCGUGGAGCUGCUCCAACGCCCGUCUGUCACAGCUGGACACAGUGUGGAGCUGUUCCCCCGCCCCUCCGGCACAGCUGGACACAGCGUGGAGCUGCUCCAGCGUCUCUCUGGCACAGCUGGACACAGCAUGGAGCUGCUCCACUGCCCCUCCGGCACGGCUGGACACAGCGUGGAGCUGCUCCAACGCCCGUCUGUCACAGCUGGACACAGUGUGGAGCUGUUCCCCCGCCCCUCCGGCACAGCUGGACACAGCGUGGAGCUGCUCCAGCGUCUCUCUGGCACAGCUGGACACAGCAUGGAGCUGCUCCACUGCCCCUCCGGCACGGCUGGACACAGCGUGGAGCUGCUCCAACGCCCGUCUGUCACAGCUGGACACAGUGUGGAGCUGUUCCCCCGCCCCUCCGGCACAGCUGGACACAGCGCGGAGCUGCUCCAGCGUCUCUCUGCCACAGCUGGACACAGCAUGGAGCUGCUCCACUGCCCCUCCGGCACGGCUGGACACAGCGUGGAGCUGCUCCAACGCCCGUCUGUCACAGCUGGACACAGUGUGGAGCUGUUCCCCCGCCCCUCCGGCACAGCUGGACACAGCGUGGAGCUGCUCCAGCGUCUCUCUGGCACAGCUGGACACAGCAUGGAGCUGCUCCACUGCCCCUCCGGCACGGCUGGACACAGCGUGGAGCUGCUCCAACGCCCGUCUGUCACAGCUGGACACAGUGUGGAGCUGUUCCCCCGCCCCUCCGGCACAGCUGGACACAGCGUGGAGCUGCUCCAGCGUCUCUCUGGAAUCCUCAGGGUCACUUUUUCAGGAUGCUACUCAUCGAGCUUUAG